rnacentral:rRNA from 1 species
GCAAUACAGCAAUGUGGAGCGAAUCUCAAAAAGAUAGUCUCAGUUCGGACUGUGGGCUGCAACCCGCCCACACGAAGUCGGAGUUGCUAGUAAUCCCGAAUCAGCAUGUCGGGGUGAAUGCGUUCCCGGGUCUUGUACACACCGCCCGUCACGCCAUGGGAGUCGGAAGUGCCCAAAGUCGGUGACCUAACCGCAAGGAAGGAGCCGCCUAAGGUAAUGCCGAUGACUGGGGUGAAGUCGUAACAAGGUACC